rnacentral:rRNA from 1 species
UGACGGGGACCCGCACAAGCGGUGGAGCAUGUGGUUUAAUUCGAAGCAACGCGAAGAACCUUACCAAAUCUUGACAUCCUUUGACAACUCUAGAGAUAGAGCUUUCCCCUUCGGGGGACAAAGUGACAGGUGGUGCAUGGUUGUCGUCAGCUCGUGUCGUGAGAUGUUGGGUUAAGUCCCGCAACGAGCGCAACCCUUAAGCUUAGUUGCCAUCAUUAAGUUGGGCACUCUAAGUUGACUGCCGGUGACAAACCGGAGGAAGGUGGGGAUGACGUCAAAUCAUCAUGCCCCUUAUGAUUUGGGCUACACACGUGCUACAAUGGACAAUACAAAGGGCAGCGAAACCGUGAGGUCAAGCAAAUCCCAUAAAGUUGUUCUCAGUUCGGAUUGUAGUCUGCAACUCGACUACAUGAAGCUGGAAUCGCUAGUAAUCGUAGAUCAGCAUGCUACGGUGAAUACGUUCCCGGGUCUUGUACACACCGCCCGUCACACCACGAGAGUUUGUAACACCCGAAGCCGGUGGAGUAACCUUUUAGGAGCUAGCCGUCGAAGGUGGGACAAAUGAUUGGGGUGAAGUCGUAACAAGGUAGCCGUAUCGGAAGGUGCGGCUGGAUCACCUCCUUUCUAAGGA